UAACUUGGCCUAGAUAUGUUUAUCUGUUCUGCCAUGUACUAGAUCUAUAGACUUUCUAAAAAAGUGUACAUUUUAUGAUAAUAACUAAGCAGUGAGUAGAGAAAAAAUUUAGUAGAAAAAUUAACAUGAUAGAUUCAAUGAUUUUUUUUUAAAGAAUAACAAACAAUUAUAUAAUAUAAGUUGCAAAUGGUGAGGAUUCCAAACCGUUUCAAGCAGGGUCAGUUACAGAGGAGAACAGAUAGUUUUUAAAGUUUUCGAAUACAUUUCAAUUCAAUCGGAAUGCAGUUGAAGAAUUUAGGGCCGAAGAAAAAGAAAGAUCUUUGCGUUAAAGAUUUUCUGAAAAGUUGUAUACUGAGAUUCAAAUUACUAGUGGAUCUGGUUAUUCCAGUUUUUCUCUGGUUAGAUGUUUCGUGUCUGAUGUACAUUCUUUUUAAACACUGAGAAUCAAGUGUAGUAUUGAAGGCCCCACCCCAUGCUGUAAUACAGUAGGUCAUUACAGAUUCAGCUAGGGAAUUGUAAAGUAAAAGGAGAUUUCUUCUGGUAAGUACGUCUCUCAGGAUAUAAAAACUGUGCAUCAAGACUCUUAAACGGUUAUUAACAUUUGUGAUGUGAUCUGACCAGCGCGUGCAUUGAUCUAAGACUACUCCUAAAUAUUUGAUUUUUUCCACUUUUUUUACUAUGGAACAUGUGCAAUCGAUCUUAUGACAGUUUGUGAUGUGUAAUUGUAUCAGAAUAUUUUUUGGUUGGGUAGUGACUGUUGGCGUAAAUGUGAGAAAUUUUGUUUUUUCAAUAUUCAGGGUGAGUUUGUUUAAGUUUAGCCAGUCGUGUAUUUUUUGCAAGUCAGUCUCAGUAGUUUCUUUUACUUCCUCCCAAGUUUCUCCUGUGAAGAUCAGAGCUGUAUCAUCUGCAUAACAAAAAUAGUGUCCUUUAAAUCCAUUAAUUCUUGUAAUAUCAUUCAUGUACACAAGGAACAGUAUCGGUCCUAAUACUGUCCCCUGUGGUACACCGAUUUUUACUUUUGAAACGUUACUUAUUUCUUGUCCAACUUUUACCUGUUGUACUCUACUUGUUAGGUAAUCAGUCAUAAGGUCAGCCGACAGACCACGUAUACCGUAAUGGUGCAGCUUAUUGAGUA